rnacentral:rRNA from 1 species
CUACGGGUCGCUCCAGUCGAGAAUCGUCUACAAUGGGGGAAACCCUGAUAGUGCGACGCUGCGUGAACGAUGAAACCCUUCGGGGCGUAAAGUUCUUUUCUCUGUGAGCAGUGUAUUAGAGAUUAAUAAUUUUUGAUAUAAGAUAUUAACAGAGGAAUAAGCCACGGCUAACUCCGUGCCAGCAGCCGCGGUAAUACGGGGGUGGCGAGCGUUGUCCGGAAUCACUAGGCGUAAAGGGCAGGUAGGCGGACCGGUAAGUCAGAUGUUAAAGGCUCAGGCUCAACCUGGGUAAGGCAUUUGAUACUGUCGGUCUAGAGUUAGGUAUGGGAGGACGGAAUUCCCGGUGUAGCGGUGGAAUGCGCAGAUAUCGGGAAGAACACCAAAGGCGAAGGCAGUUCUCUUGGCCAUAACUGACGCUAAACUGCGAAGGUGUGGGUAUCAAACAGGAUUAGAUACCCGUGUAGUC